rnacentral:rRNA from 1 species
UACGGGGGGGGCAAGCGUUGUUCGGAAUUACUGGGCGUAAAGGGCUCGUAGGCGGCCAACUAAGUCAGACGUGAAAUCCCUCGGCUUAACCGGGGAACUGCGCCCGAUACUGGUUGGCUUGAAUCCGGGAGAGGAAACUGGAAUUUACGGUGUAGCAAUGAAAUGCGUAGAGAUCGUAAGGAAGACCAGUGGCGAAGGCGAGUUUCUGGACAGUUACUGACGCUGAGGUACGAAGGCGUGGGGAGCAAACAGG